rnacentral:pre_miRNA from 1 species
GGUGACAGAGCGAGACUCCGUCUCUUUUUCUUUUUUUUUUUUUUUUUUUUUUUUUUGAAAAAAAAAAAAAAAAAAAAAAAAAAGAAAAAGAGACGGAGUCUCGCUCUGUCACC